rnacentral:rRNA from 1 species
UUUGAAGAGCCGCGGUAUUUUGACCGUGCAAAGGUAGCAUAAUCAUUAGUUUCUUAAUUGGAUGCUGGAAUGAAUGGUUUGACGAGAAAUUAACUGUCUCUUAAUAAAUUAUAAAAUUUAACUUUUAAGUUAAAAGGCUUAAAUAUAUCUUUAGGACGAGAAGACCCUAUAGAGCUUAACAUUAAAAUUUUGUGUUUUAUCUUGUUUAUCUUUCUAUAAUAAAUUUUAAUGUUUGGUUGGGGUGACAUAAAGAAUAAAUAAACUCUUUAUUAUAAAAUCAUUAAUUUAUGUUUAUUUGAUCCAUAAUUUAUGAUCAUAAGAUUAAGUUACCUUAGGGAUAACAGCGUAAUCAUUUUUGAGAGUUCUUAUCAAUAAAAUGGGUUGCGACCUCGAUGUUGGAUUAAGAAUAAUAUUGGGUGUAGUAGCUUAAUAAUUAGGUCUGUUCGACCUUUAAAUUCUUACG